rnacentral:rRNA from 1 species
GAUGAACGCUGGCGGCGUGCCUUAUACAUGCAAGUCGAGUGGGUUUAGACCCACGGCAAACGGGUGAGUAACACGUAGGUCCUUUCCUUGUCACAGGAAUAACCCUCCGAAAGGAGGGCUAAUACCUGAUGUGAUCGCAAGUUUAAAGGGUAUCCGCAAGGAUUACCGGACAACAAGAGGCCUGCGGACUAUCAGCUAGUUGGCGGGGUAAAUGCCCACCAAGGCGACGACGGGUAGCGGGUCUGAUGAGGAUGAUCAGCCACAUGGGCACGGAGACACGGGCCCAACUCCUUCGGGAGGCAGCAGUAGGGAAGUGUGCGCAAGGGGCGAGAGCCUGACGCAGCGACGCCGCGUGCGGGAUGAAGGCCUUCGGGUCGUAAACCGCUUUUAUAAGGGACGAACUUUGACGGUACCUUAUGAAUAAGAGGUUGCUAACUCUGUG